rnacentral:lncRNA from 10 species
UUUAUGAUUGUCCUUUACUUUUUUCGUAGUAAAAUGGCUAUCAGAACAUUAUCUUGGAGUUACUAAAAAGAGCACUGUCCCCAAGGAAGGUUUCAGAAGACACAUGAACCAAUGAUCACUUCCAACUACAUUCCCGUGUUAAGAGCUUCAGGGUGCAUAGACGGUGGCAAACGCUUGACAGGACUGGAUUACCGUAUUUUCUUACAGCUCUUCAUAUACGAAGAUUUGCUAAAUCUUCCAUCAACAUUUUGAAGCUUUUCGUUCUGGGAAGUUAUGAAUAUUCAUACAAACAUGUUGCCAGAACAGGAAGUCCUCACUAUCUUAUUGUAUUAUUAUCUUUAAUCAGAAUUCAAUUUAAUUUAAAUGGUAUGCAUUGUAAAUUGGUGCUGUGGGAGAGAUGUGCUUAACUUUGUGUGUUGAAGUGGUCAACAUUUUGUAUGUAUAUUUUCAAUUAAUUCCCCAUUUUCAAGCCCAUGUUUUAC